UACGUAGGGUGCGAGCGUUAACCGGAAUUACUGGGCGUAAAGCGUGCGUAGGCGGUUCUCCAAGUCCGUUGUGAAAGCCCCGGGCUCAACCUGGGAAUGGCAGUGGAAACUAGGGGACUGGAAUCUGGCAGAGGGGGGUGGAAUGCCGCGUGUAGCAGUGAAAUGCGUAGAGAUGCGGCGGAACACCGAUGGCGAAGGCAGCCCCCUGGGCUGAGAUUGACGCUCAGGCACGAAAGCGUGGGGAGCAAACAGG
rnacentral:rRNA from 1 species